UAUCUUACACCUACUGUAAUGCUCACAUCUAGCUGCACAGGCCCAUAUGAAGCUCAGCCCCGACUGAGCCAACUGAUCACCUCCCCUCUCCCUGAUGAAUGGCUUUACUAAUACAGUGUCUCUAUGGUUUUCCAAAGUCUAGAACGUUGUCUUCUGUGACUAAUUUCUCAGUGAAGUAAAUUACCCUUCUAUUUUUACAUAACUCUCACUUCUCAUGUAUGUAAAAUUAAAACCAUAUACUCUACGGAAGGUGACGUCAUCACAGACUCGGGAAGAAGGAAACACUUUCUGUUGGUUUUGAUAUCACAUCUCUCAAAUGAGAAGGAAACAGUUCACUUCCUUGGAUCUGGGGUUCCGCCUGUGGCCUCCAGGGGGCGACGUUGCUCUAAGGAGGCAUCUGUUUUCGUCCCAGACCAUCCUCAUUUCACUGAGCCUCCCCCCUGCAGCUGGCUGAUGCAGCUCACCGAUGUCUGUGCAGAGAGUUGUGACGAGAACAAGAGGGCAGAACACAUCCAGACUCCUUAAGGGAAGCCUUCUUUCUGUUUUUGAAACUUUUCAAAGUCAGGGACUUGUCCAGUCCAACCUCCCCACCGCUCCUAGCUCCCGAGGCUCAGUGCUCUUGGCUUCUGUCUGCCCUGCUGAGGGUCCUGCAUUGUUGCCACUGCUCAGCCAUGCUCCUGCUGCUCGUCCCAGUGCUCGCGGUGAUUUUUGUCCUGGGAGGAACCAGAGCCCAGUCUGUGACCCAGCUUGACGGCCAGGUCACUGUCUCUGAAGGAGCCCCUGUGCUGCUGAAGUGCAACUACUCGUCGUCUGUUUCAGCGGUGUAUCUCUUCUGGUACGUGCGACACCCCAACCAAGGACUCCAGUUUCUCCUGAAGUAUGUAUCAGGAUCCACCCUGGUUAAAGGCAUCAAAGGUUUUGAGGCUGAAAUUAAGAAGAGUGAAAGCUCUUUCCACCUGAAGAAAUCUUCAGCCCAUGUGAGCGAUGCAGCUGAGUACUUCUGUGCUGUGAGUGACACAGUGCCUGAGACUGCAGGGGAGCUGAACACAAACCAUCUGAGAGGCUGAGACUUUCUGUCACUCAAGAACUCAACCUUGAAGUCUGUUUUAUAAUGUUAAAUAGCCAUUCAAAGUUUCUGAUGCUUACUGGUGUAUGCUAUAUUUUUUUCCAUCUGUUUAUUUUUAAACUAUGACUUUAAAUUUAAAGUGUGUUGCCUUUAGGUAGCUGAAUAUAGGGUCUUCCUUUCUAUCCACUAGGUCAAUCUCUGGUUUUGCAAUGGGAAGUUUAGAUAAUUGUAAUAUAAUAUGUAUUAAUGAAAUUGAAUUUUAGUAUACUAUGUUAUUAUUGUGUUUCUGUUUCACCCUUAUUUAUUUUUAUUUAUUUAUUUUUUUAAACUGACUUUUUUGGGAUUAUUUGAAUAUUUUAAACACUACGUUAUCUAUGGACUGCUUUGGUUAUAUUUCCAUAUUUUUUCAGUGGUUGCUCUGGAGAUUAUAAUACAUACGACUAACUAUCCAGGGUCUUCUGUGAUAUUGUUCCUUUUUAUGUAAAAUGCAGAAAUUUAUACACAAUAUGUCUCUUUAUCCAUCAACACUGAAGUUUGUUGUAGUAGUUCAUGUAUAUUAAAGCCACAUAUAUUGGAAACCUCACCAUAUAGUGAUACAAUUUUUGUUUUAAAUAAUUGUAUGGACUGUAUAAAACUUACUAGGAAUAAUAAUAAAUAUGUCAUGUUUAAUAUCUA